GCCUGGCUAGCUCAGUUGGUUAGAGGGUGGUGUUGAUAACGCCAAGGUCGCUGGUUUGAUCCCCAUAUGGGACA